rnacentral:lncRNA from 1 species
GGUCAUAGCACAGGCUUUCCUUCUCCUUUUGGCAUUCUUUUUGUCCACCAAAAGUUGUCCCCCCAAAAGUUGACUAGAAACUCUGUGUGUGGCUUGUAGCUUAUUGACUAUAGUCUUCAUUGUAAGAUGAUCUAGCUGAGCCUAUUCCUUGGGAAAUUCCCAAUGUCAAGAUCUUAUUUCUUUUCUCUCCCCGAGAGAAGAUUUCUAUUUUUCUGCCAGUGGCAUGUUGGUUGACAGCCGGCAGUCUGAGACCUGAGAAGGUCAGGAGCAGUUUUUGUGUAAAGUAGGAAAGGAAUAAAAGAAUAAUUGCUUCAUUAACACACUGUCAGGGAAGACUUAACCCCAUCUUCACCCCUGCCUUCCAGAGAUACUUGGGUCUUGGGGGAUUUUGCAAUGUAAAUUGAGUUUCUGUUCAGCUCUCCUCCCUGCCAGUUUAGGACUGCUUUCUCUAGUCCAAUACAUCAGUACUUACAUACUUGCUAGCCUCCAAAAUUUUGAGGCUGCUGUCUUUCUUCCUGUUUUCUCUUUUAUUUUAGGUUUGUGCCAUUAGUUGGAAAUUCAACUUAAGCUUGUAAACGAUUGUCAGGUCAAUUCAACAAGUACAUAGAGAGCACCUAUCAGAUGCCUGGUUCACAGAUCCAUCACAGCAUUAAGGGAUCUGUGGGUUUUGGGCUGUUAUUAAAUUCUGAACUGGAAUGACAGAUACUUCUCAAGUCUUUACUGUUCUUUCAACCACUGGGCUACUUCUUCCAGCUCUGAGGUAUUUUGUUUAUUCUCUUAUCUCUGAUAUCAUUAGUUCUUUUCAUCCUCUAUCAGCUGGAAACAUUUUUUCUACCUUAAAUUUCCUUUUAGAUUUAUGUAAUAACCUAUUUUUGAGUCUAUGUAAAAAUGUCCCCUUUACCAACCUGGAAUAAAUAGAGAGGAUUUUAAACUCUGUCUAGUAAGAAAAAUGAUUUCCAAUUUGUGUUCAAGCUAAAACUGGAUCAUCUUCCCUACUCCCAUCAAACAAUGCCAUGACUCUUCCUAUGUCAUAGACCUGGAGUUCCCAUUGUGGCUCAGUGGUAACCAACCUGACUAGUAUCGAUGAGGAUGCGGGUUCAAUCCCUGGCCUAGCUCAGUAGGUUAAGGAUCCGGCACAGCCUUGAGCUAUGGUGUAGGUCGCAGAAGUUGCUCGGAUCUGGCAGUGCUAUGGCUAUGGCCAGCAGCUGCAGCUCCAAUUUAACCACUAGCCUGGGAACUUCCAUAUGCCAUGGGUGCUGCCCUAAAAAAACAAAACAAAACAAAAAACCCAAAUCUAACAAUAUAGUAAAAGGAUAGUACAUCACAACCCAGUGAGAGUUAUCCUGGGAAUGUAGGGCUGUUUUGACAUUAGAAAAUCAAUAGAAUUCAUCAUGCUAACAAACUAAAAAAGAAAGACACAAUCAUCUCGAGAGAUGCAGAAAAGAUAUUUGACAAAAUCCAACUGAAAUCUGCUACCAUCCUGUCAAGAGAAGCCUUUGUGGAGAAUCACAGUUUUAGAGGGAAUAAAAUACAGACAACUAUCUGUUUUAUUUUAGAGGAUGUGAAAAGUGGGACUUCCUAGCCAUUCUUCUUGCUAACAUAAGCUCUAACUUUAAUUAUCUUUUACUUAGGUUACAUUGUGCUACAAUUUAACUCAGUGUUUCCAAAACUCUAUUCCUUAAAACACUAGCAUUGUUUGAAAUACAAGGCUCCCGGGAACCUUCAAGACAUGUAUUAAAGGUUCUAAUGGAUUCCAGGGAAGAAACCAAGCCCGACUUUUUCUUUCACGUGAAUUUCAAUCAUUGCUGUCCCAUCAAGAUUAAUUAUUCCAUAUUUGCUGGGAAAAGCAUUUUAUUUUGACCCACCUGUUUAUUAUUGCUCAUAUAUUAUAUAAUAUUUGUAGGCACUCAGAGAAGAGCACGGUUAGAGCAGUCUGGGACAAUUUCAUGGAAGCUGGGUAGAUGUUCUUGACGCUGGGCUGCUGCCAGUAGAGUUUUCUGUAAGCACGACUUUUAUCACGCCACUCCUCUGCUCAUACACCUUCCUUCAUACACAUACAGGCCAACUCUUUACCACUACUCUGCAGAGUGGCAAUUUUUCUUACCUACCUUUCUAAGUCUUUGCUCAUAAUAUCUUUUAAGUUCAUACAAGAAUCUAAAAUGUUUACACCAGAUUAAUAAAUGCAGUAAGUUUAAAAAAUAUAUUUAAAACCACAGAGGGGAUCAGUCAAAAAGAUACUUUCACCUGUCUGGUAGAAGCCCUUUACUUCUCUCCAUAUAUCAAGAGAAAGAAAUGCAGUAAAAAUGAAAUUUUCUACUGGUGUGUGCUAACUGCUAUGGUUUGAAUGUUUGUGUUCCCUCAAAAUUUAUAUUUUGAAAUCCAAACCCCUUAGGUGAUGACAUUAGGAGGUGGGGCCUUUGAGACAUGAUUAGGUCAUGAGGGUGGAGCCUCGUGAAUGGAAUUAGUGCCAUUAUAAAAGAGACCCACCUUUCCAUGUGAAGUUAUAGCAAGUUAUAGAAAGUUAUGAACCAUAAAGUGGACUCUCACCAGACGUCAAAUCUGCCAGCACCUUGAUCUUGAACUUCUCAGCCUCCAGAACUGUAAAAAAUAAGUUUCUGUUGUUUGAAAGCCACAUAGUUUAUAUAUUUUGUUAAGUAGCCUGAACAAACUAAGAUACGAACACAGUAUUUCUUUCUAUAAGCAUGGAAAACAUUUUAAACGGAAUUGUGUCCUAUACGAGGUAAAUCUUCCUAGUUUGAGCAAUAAGUCAUAAACCAACCAUAGAAAAAAUAAAAUAAAAAGGGAAACCCAGCUGAGCAUUUUCCUUUUGUGUGUUUAGGGGAUUAGUGACUUAUUCUUUGUUCAAAGUACUGCAUUUCUUGGAAGCAAAUCGUUUAAAUAAGGUAGUAAUAUAUUUAAGAGUAUCUUUUGAAAGUUACAAUUCCCAAGAUAGACACACCAAAAGAAUCUUUUUUUUUUUUUUUGCAAAAAGAAUGCUAACAUGUGUUACAGCAAAGAAGCAAAAUGAAUCAUGGUGUGGGUAGUAUGCUGGAUUCAUAAGAAGCAGUGUUCUCUCCCAGCCUGAUACUGGAUAUGCAAUUUUUCUUUUUCUUUUACUUUUUACAACUGCAUCUGUGGCAUAUGGAUUUUCCCAGGCCAUGGGUUGACUGGGAACUGCAGCUGUGGCGUAUGCCACAGCCAUGGCAACGCCAGAUCUGAGCUGCAUCUACACCCAGUCCUUAACCCACUGAGUGAGGCCAGAGAUCGAGUGGGUCCUUAACCCACUGAGCUACAAUUAAAUCACCUUUUCCUUAAUAGUUUAAAUGGUUCUUGGAUGAGUUAUAGUGUUCAUGUUGACUGCAUUUGUAUGAACAGGAACAAGACUUCAGUUAAUCCAGAACAGUUUGAUUCUUCAGCUGAAGCUUUAGAACAAAGCCCAUUAAAAAAAACAGGAAGAUAACUGAAAUCAAUUUACCAUGAUCUGGCCUUAACUGGCAAAAUCAGCUAAGGCCUAAAAUAUAUUUAAUUUGAAGCACAGGUCUAUCAUGAGUGAUAUACUUUCAUCUUAGUGUAUUGUUCAUUUUGUCUUUCAUUUCAAAAGGCAAACAAAAGGUCCAAAUUAUAAUUUUAAAAGCCUCAGAAAUAUACUGCCUGCACUUAGGACAUAUAUGAAUUUGGUUAAAAAAAAUUAUGAAGAAAAAAGAUGGACUCACCCACAAUAUUAUUUUCUUAUUUUUUCAAGAAAGAGGCUUUCAAAACCAAAGAAGUGGAGCUCUCUCAUAACGCAGCAAGUUAAGGAUCUGGUGUUGUUACUACAGUGGCUCAGGCUGCUGCUGUGGCACAGGUUUUAUCCCUGACCCAGAAACUUCCACAUGCCACAGGUGUGGACAAAAAACAAAAACAAACAAACAAAAAAAACCCAGAACAUAAAAAGUUUUAAGUUAAACUAAUCCACUCUUCUCCCCUUUUGUGGGCCUGACACUUGAAAAUUAUAACCGUUUGUACAAAUAGUUUUACUCCACAGAAUAUUUAUUAAGGCAAUGCAUAAUUAGUGGAGACUUAACAUCUUUCCAGCAUUGCCAUGGUCCCUGUGAAGAACAUAAAAGACAAGUGAGAUAUACUCUCUGCCCUCCAAGGAUAUUUCAUCCUAUUAAUUUUGGAAUUCUAGAACUAGUACCAGGGAUAGUUUAAAAACUAAAACAUUUUAUUUUCUUAAUGAAACAUAACUUGCAGACAUGAAUCUUAAGCAAAGAUACAAUCUUGGAUACUCUUUUUUUAUUCACCUGGAUGGAAAUGGCCAUCUCUGUGUUCAGGCGGCAUCUACAACCUUAGAAUAACCAAAAGAAUGGUUGUUUUCCUUCAUUAGAUUACUGGCUCACUGCACUUUCAUUUAGAGUAAGUUAGAUUCAUUGCCCAUGGUCACAUUUUUAAUUUGUAUUGACCAGGACUAUGUCCAACAGAAACGCAUGUCCUCCAUGUUCCAACAAGUGCAUGUAGUUAUAUGUCUCUUAAUUCCACCUCUGUUAUGAAUAAGUAGGGUGACCUCAAGUGUGUUUUGUAAACUGUAAUUUUUCCUACUCAUAAAAUGGCAAUAAUAAAAGUAUAGGUUGAGGAAAAAAAAAUACAUGUCCUGUGCACCAAAAGUGUAAGAAUAGUUAUGGCAACAUUAUUUGAAGUUAGGGG